rnacentral:rRNA from 1 species
UGGGGAAUAUUGGGCAAUGGACGCAAGUCUGACCCAGCAACGCCGCGUGAGGGAAGAAGGUUUUCGGAUUGUAAACCUCUGUCCUUGGUGACGAAAAAAAUGACGGUAGCCAAGGAGGAAGCCCCGGCUAACUACGUGCCAGCAGCCGCGGUAAUACGUAGGGGGCAAGCGUUGUCCGGAAUUACUGGGCGUAAAGGGUGCGUAGGUGGUCUUAAAAGUCAGAUGUGAAAUACCCGGGCUUAACUUGGGGGGUGCAUCUGAAACUUUAAGACUUGAGAUGUGGAGAGGGAAGCGGAAUUCCUAGUGUAGCGGUGAAAUGCGUAGAUAUUAGGAGGAACACCAGUGGCGAAGGCGGCUUUCUGGACACAAACUGACACUGAGGCACGAAAGCGUGGGGAGCAAACA